GAUGAAGAACGCAGCGAAAUGCGAUAAGUAAUGUGAAUUGCAGAAUUCGGUGAAUCAUCGAAUCUUUGAACGCACAUUGCGCCCGUCAGUAUUCUGGCGGGCAUGCCUGUUCGAGCGUCAUUACGCCCCUCAAGUCCCCUGUGGACUUGGUGUUGGGGAUCGGCGAGGCUGGUUUUCCAGCACAGCCGUCCCUUAAAUUAAUUGGCGGUCUCGCCGUGGCCCUCCUCUGCGCAGUAGUAAAACACUCGCAACAGGAGCCCGGCGCGGUCCACUGCCGUAAAACCCCCCAACUUUUUAUAGUUGACCUCGAAUCAGGUAGGACUACCCGCUGAACUUAAGCAUAUCAAUAAGCGGAGGA
rnacentral:misc_RNA from 1 species